rnacentral:rRNA from 1 species
AUUGAACGCUGGCGGCAUGCCUUACACAUGCAAGUCGAGCGGCAGCACGGGGCAACCUGGUGGCGAGUGGCGAACGGGUGAGUAAUGCAUCGGAACGUACCUUUCAGUGGGGGACAACGUAGCGAAAGUCACGCUAAUACCGCAUAUUCUGUGAGCAGGAAAGCAGGGGGUCGCAAGACCUUGAGCUGAUUGAGCGGCCGUUGUCAGAUUAGCUAGUUGGGGAGGUAAAGGCUCACCAAGGCGACGAUCCGUAGCGGGUGUGAGAGGAUGAGCCGCCACCCUGGAACUGAGACACGGUCCAGACUCCUACGGGAGGCAGCAGUGGGGAAUUUUGGACAAUGGGGGCAACCCUGGUCCAGACAUGCCGCGUGAGUGAAGAAGGCCUUCGGGUUGUAAAGCUCUUUCGGCCGGGAAGAAAUCGCGCGGGCUAAUACCCUGUGUAUAUGACGGUACCGGAAUAAGAAGCACCGGCUAACUACGUGCCAGCCGCCGCGGUAAUAC